GAGCCGAACACCUUCAAAGCUGUUAUACGCACCCGAAGGUAAGAAGUCCAACUACGAAAGUGGCUUUAUGUUAACUGAACCCACGAAAGCUAGGACACAAACUGGGAUUAGAUACCCCACUAUGCCUAGCCCUAAACAUAAAUAGUACUUUACAACUGCUAUCCGCCUGGGUACUACGAGCAUCAGCUUAAAACCCAAAGGACUUGGCGGUGCUUUAGAUCCACCUAGAGGAGCCUGUUCUAGAACCGAUAACCCCCGUUCAACCUCACCCUUUCUUGUUUAUCCCGCCUAUAUACCACCGUCGUCAGCUUACCCUGUGAAGGCCUUAUAGUAAGCAAAAUUGGCAAAGCCCAAAACGUCAGGUCGAGGUGUAGCGUAUGAAAGGGGAAGAAAUGGGCUACAUUCUCUAAACUAGGGAACCACGAAUAAUUCAUUGAAACAUGAAUCUGAAGGAGGAUUUAGCAGUAAACGGAAAAUAGAGCGUUCCGCUGAAACUGGCCCUGAAGCGCGCACACACCGCCCGUCACUCUCCCCGAGCUUAAAGAACUGCAAAUAAAUA
rnacentral:rRNA from 1 species